CCUUGGGAGACUGACCUAAGGAAAUAUUGCUAUGAUUUAUGUCAGGAUGUUUCCCCUGUGUUCUCUUCUAGUUUUAUGGUGUUAUGGCUUACAUUUGGGUCUUUGAGCCAUUUUGAGUUUAUUUGUAUGGAUCACAUAUCUUCAAAAUAUAAUUGAAAAUACAUAACUAAGCUUAUAGGUAUAAAAGGGAUAUACUGAAGCACCAGAACUGAAGAAACCGUUGCUGUGUUGGUGUGCUGUUGGUGGUGACUGGGGAAGGUGGGUGGCGGGAGGCAGGACCCAGCCACGGGCUUCCAGGCCACCUGGAAAGGAAGCUCACUGCCUGAGAUGGACCAGAAAAGCACUGCCUUUUCCGUAAGAAGGGUUAGAGCAUCUGGUUGCUACCCUGAGUUAGGGCUCAGAGGGAGCCAUCAGCUCCAGGCUGCAGGAGGAAACAUCAUGUUGAAAAAUCUAGCCCACAAUCAGCUCUACUCACAAAGUUCAGAAGACGCCAACCUGGAAAUCCAAUGGAAAAACUAAUUCGGAGUCAGUAAACCCAGUAAGACUCCCCUGCAGCCCCAGGGGACCCCCAGAGGAGUUGACUCUUCAGGUUGGGGGAAUGGAGGCAAAACUGCAGAACAGUGGGAGAUGGGUGUCAGCAUUCCCCAGAGCCACUUGUCUAAAACAUUCCAUUUUCUUUAAAAAGCAACACAAAACGAAGUUCCCCGUGGUCCAGAAGACUGCCCACAGACCUGGAUGAAAGUUUGUACACCCAAGAAGCUAAAAGUAAUGGAGACUGUUUAAUGGAGAUGGAACAGGAGACCCUGCUUUAUCCAAAUCACAGGAGCAAAGCCAUAUUGAGGUGUCCUAUGACCCAGAUGAGCAUGAUUUCAUUUCUGAGCAUGAACUCAGUUCUCCUGAAUCAUGACCCUCCUCCAGUGUUUACAAACGGUUUGAAUGAAUUGAUGAAGACCCAAGUCUCUGGACCACUCAGCCCUCCAUCCAGCUCUACAGCACCUCACUUGAUCAGCAGAUUAGUGAAGAAAAGAAGCUAGAGCCAUCUGCUCUGGAAUGCUAGUUAUAAUUGUCUUCAGGAGGAAAUAGGAAGCUCUGAAAAUAUGUGCAAGUCAUCCCAGGUCGCCAGAAGUAACCCCAGUUUGCGACAAUCAAAAGUCUACAGAUCCUGUGAGUCAGAGCCUCGGGGAACCAGUGCCCUGUCUCUGGGAUCAGCCGCUGAGCUCAGCUCCCACAGCCACCUCAUCUUUUUCUGUCCUGAAGACAGAGGGGGCCCAAGACUGGGUGAGGAAGCCAGCCAUCUCUACCUGCUGGGAGUGAAUUCACCCAUGUCAUCUGUGAGACUCAACAGCAAGUGAGAACAAGAGAUAGCUCCAGUUGUGUGUACCCCGGAUCAACUGUGUAUUCCCUUUUUGUGAUUCUCUGAAAGCACACGCUGAGUUGUAUACAGCAGUAAAGUCAUUUCCAGAGUUCUUCCCUCUCACAGUCCCUCCAGGGCCAACAGGAGUUCCAUUAAUCAUUGACAGCCUGGAGAGAAAGUCAAGCCAUAUGUGCGGUUCCAGAUUCCUACUGCUCAGCCCUCCCCCAGCCUCGGAAGAUGAAAGCCUUGGCAUUUGACUAGGCAAGUGAUAAAACAUUUUCUCAUGUAAACACUGUGCCUAGGGCCACAGUCUCUAUGCUUUAGACAUCACGAGCAAUAUUUAAACUGCCAAGAAAGAAAUCGGGCCAGAAUAGGCUAAUCUUCCUCAACCAUGGCACUAAUUGAUAUGUUAGGCCUGAUCAGUCUUUGUGGAAGGUGGGCAUGUGGGCCACCUUGUGCGUUGUAGGAUAUUUAGCAGCAUCUCUGGCCUCUGCCCACAAGGUUGCCAGAAGUAACCCCAGUUGUGACAAAAGUCUACAGAUACUGUCAUGUGUCCUUGAGGGAAGGGAGCUAAGUCACCCCUAGUUUAGAACUGCUGGAACAGGCUAGUUUGUAAAGCUUAGCCAGUCCCACCCCCGUAGACCUAGCAUUAUUGCUUUAGACUUAAAUCUGCAUGAAUGUUUGCUAAAGCAAGUCACAUUCAUGAGGCCCAAUUCUAAAGACAAACGCUUGUCUGUCCUGGUAAGUGUAUCAUUCUCUUUUUCUUUUUUUGGUAUCAUUCUCUUUUUGGCCUAAGUCUCCAGAGCCUUAAAAUUUCAUAGAAAAUUUGCUUUGCAGGCAGCUUCUUUAUUCUCAUAAAAAUUAAGUUGUAAGAGCAGAAAAUAUGACGUCCAAUUUUGUGUUUAAGCAGGAACCGCAACAUGGACAGUUGGGCCUCAGUUCGUGGCGUGGCUGAGUAAUUUGUUGGUUGUUUCUUUGAGGUCCUUGCUUAGGGUCCAGAGAACCUUUAUGGCACAUUUCUUUUGGAACUACACCACAUUUACCUUAUGUUUCUGAAGUGGUAUGUGGCUGCCAAGAAUCCUCAGGACAGUGACUAAAAUGGCUGUUUGGUAUUCAGUGGACUUCUUCUCAUUUUAUAAGGGAGGAUAGGUUCCAACAUUUUACUUGUUCAUCUUCUGAAUUUUCAUUCUUAGAAGUGCCAGAUUUUUAUCCCCAGUGGUAAAACAGAAAGGAGGAAUAGAAUAGAAUUGCAAGUCCAAUUCCUGUUGCAGGGCAUGUCAGCCACAACCCUGCAAGUCAGAAUUUGACUGUGGUCAGAUUACCUCAUUGGAAAAUAAAAGUUGAAGACCAAAAGUAACAGGAACCAUGAGAAAAGUACCAUUUGCCAAAAGCAAUGCUUGUCUAGCUCAACAAAUUGUAUACCAACAAAUUAAAGCAUCUUAGAAAAAUUUACCUUGCAGACUGUAGAACUUCACAGUUAAAAGAAUUUACAUUUUAAAUUACCUAGAUCCGAAUUCCUCCCUCCAAGGAAAUCCCUGUGACUUUAUCGUAAUGGAUAAGAAGAAAUGAAAGGUGACCUGUUGUUGUUGUUUGUUUUUAUUAACUGCACUAUAGGAGAGCUGGGUAAUCCAUUCCCCAGUAAUCCUUUCAAAGUGGCCUGACUGCCUUAAGGAGCUUUCCAGUUCUGCAGUCCUAUACUGUGACCUUAAUAGCCAGUUCAUGAUUCAUUGGAAGUAAUGCCCAAACACCACCCUUCUGGAAGAGAACUUCGCCUGCGUGUCAAUUCCAGGAGUGCGGCCUGCUUUGACCUUGUGUGGCUCUCCACAAACACCACCCCCCAGCCCCUGAAGAAGCAUCCUCGAAAGACGGCGCCAUGCCAUGCUCACAAGCUCAGGCUGAUAGCGGCGAUGCUUCGGAGUUUUACACACUGUCUUUAAGAAGAGGUCGUGCACUAAAGCCAACAUUUUAGAUCAUUGCUUUAUUUGACUAUUUAUUCAACAGAGUUCAUUCCUUUCAAGGUGGAUCUUGUGAUCUUUUCCUCUUUCUGAAUAAAAAAGGUAAUGAAGAAAAAGCCUGUACUUUUGGAGACCUAGAAUCUUACUUAUGCUAAUAAGCUUUUGACUGCAGUUUUGUUUUAACGAUAUUUCCUGCUGGCAUCGCGGUGGCCACACGGAGCUCCCCACCCUCCAGUGAAGAUGGCUGUCCAUACCCACCGCCGUUGAAACCGAAAGUAAGAGUUGAAAAAUGCACCUUUUACAAUAAAAAAGUAGAAACCAAUUCAAUUUCCUUUUUUUUUUUUUUUUACGAAUAUAAAGUUUCUUGUAAAUAUGUACAGUCUUUGAGCUAGUUCUAUAGCAGGAAGCAUUUCACAAAUGAGACACACGAUAUACACUUUGAGGGCUAAGAAGCCCAUUUCUCAUGGAGAUCCUAAAUGAAAUGCCAAGACUGAACACCAUUUCCAGUGACCUCUCCAAAUACUUGUGGACCAAGAGACAAAAAAUCUUCAGCAAACAUUCAGUCAGAUCUGCCCUGGAAAAGGGAAGGGAUGCCAUCUGACCCCGAAGACUGAGCGACACACAAAACACGACAGUGUGACACUGGCCGAGGAUGCGACGACAUGGAGGAAGGGCCGUGGGCAUUUCAGACGAGAAAGCACUUCGGUUAAGGGACGAGCAGGAAGGAGCCGGGACUCGGGCCAGGUUGCAAUCUGGAAAGUGAGCUGAACCAUGGACGGGGGAUUGAAACGCGGUCAUGUUCACUGGCUGCAGUGGGAACAGGUCUAUCUGUCAGCCUACCUAGGAUGUGCCUUGGUAGUUCGAGGCGUGGAGAAGCGAGAGGCCUGGUGGGAGAUUAAAGGCAGAAAUAAGGCCGCUAGUUAGCUUGCCAACAGCGAAGCCUCUGGUUGGUUCUUUAACCAGUUGCCAGGAACCUCACACCGCCAGAGGAGAGAAAGGGGGCACCUAAGGGAGGGUUUCCCCGCCCAGUCGGGGUGGGCGAGUUGAGGGCGGUUUCUUUCUCCAACUUCCUGGUUUUAGUCUAGCCCUAGGGAGAGGCUUGUCUGGGGAGUCACAGUUUUCGUGGGGUAGAACCUGCUGGGUUGUGUGUGAACAGAGUCAUCCGCGAGGGAGUCGGCAGGGAGACGUGGAAGUGUGAGGUGUGGUUUGCUGAAAUCCUUCUCUGGUCGUAAGGCUUGAGCGUUUGGUUUUCGUUUGUUCAGUGCUACAGACUGCAGCUUGUGGCCGGUGUGUUGGCAAGUCCCAGAGGGUCUCAGUUCGGCGGGAGCUAUGGGAUGGACCUAGUGCAUCGGCAGAGCAAUCCAAGGUGGGCAGCCAGGUCGGGGCUGGGGGCAGCGCAUGCAGUGAACCGCCAUGCAGAGCUCCGGCAUCUCUUCCCACCCCAGGGAGGCGGGAACAGCACACCGUCAUGGACAGGAUGUGAGUGCCCCUGGACCCAGGGCCCUCUUGGGGCUGGGCUCAGAGCAAGUCCAGUACAUGCUUUCCUGGCCAAAAAGACAUGGAAAGCAGGGAUAGCAGGCCAGGGGUGAUGCUGAGGGGCAGGGAGGGAAAACUCCUCAAGGUCCCUUGGCCCCAAGUCACUGCCUCCAAGCAAGGCCUGAUGACCUCUGUACAUUCUCAGCUGGUGGGAGGGCAGGGGGGAAGUCGUCAAGGCCAUAAAAGGCAAUGAGGACAGUAAACAUUUGGCUAAGAUGUCGCUCCAGGUGAGACAGGGCCACCUGUGAGGACGGACUGGACGAGGGUGGACUGAGGUGAGCACAGGAGGUUAGCCGACAGCAGGGGCUCGUCUACGUACAUUUCAGUAGCAGAGACCUGAUGGUGUGACCUCGCUACAAAUGACUACAACAGGAAAUACGGUGCUAUUCAAAUCUAUUAAGAAGUCUGUUGUCUUAAAAAAAAAAAAAAAAAAAAAAAAGAAACAAAAAUAACCAACCCUAAGAUCUUAAAGUAGCUAUUAAUUAGGAUUCUAACCACGCUGUAGUUGUAGUUAGCCCCAGGUUGGUUUCCUGUGAUGAACUGGUACAGGCUAGAGCUAGGUACAAAAGUUUAUGAACGCUCUGAAAGAGUAACAAAGUGCAAAGAGGGCAGCUACAGGGAGGUGCCGGCAGCUCCCAGGAGCCCCAGCCCCCUGCCCCUCCUGGCUGCAGGGAGUCCGUGCUGAGGCGGGCCUGGGUCCAGCUGCGCCAGGGGCUGGCUGAGCAGAUGGGCGCUGGGGUCCCCUUCAGCAGAGUUCCAUAGUGUUUGGUGUUUUCCUGCAGAUCAACAUGAGGAGUUGGUUUUUCUGGCUGAGAUUUAUACUGAAGACUGGUCCCAGACCUGAGAACAAGAGGAGGAGGGGAUUUAGCCAUCAGAAGCCGGAAAUCGCCAUGCUCACUUUGUAAACAGGAGGCCCACACUGGGAUACUGCAGGAGGACGCAGUCUCUCCUUCCUGUGGUUAACAGUGAGGGAAAGGCAGAGCCUCCCCUCAGAGCUUGGGAAACUCGCUGAGAAGUCCCCAGUGCUGUAGAAGUACUUCUGUGGUUUACACGUACCAUUUUAUCCAGAUAUCAGAGGAGUGGCUGGGGUGCCAACAGAUGGCAUUAGGAGAGCGUGGUCCAGAAAGCCAGCACCUGGAACUGGUUGGCCUGCCAAGGCAUCCGCAAGCUUUCGCGCCCCGCCCCCACUUGAGGGCCCCUGGUUAUCAGCACACCCCUCCAGCGCUUCAGUUGGUAACAUGAAAGCUACACAGGUUAUUAGAAACAGAUCCCAGCUGGAGUCCUUCAGGCUUCAUGUUUACCUCGAGAGUGAGGACAGAAAGAAGGCAGAGGUAACAGCACAGAAAAAUCAAGCUUCCUAGUCUCAGGGCAGGCUUUCUGCUGAGCACCUACCAUGUGUCAGGCGCUGUGCUAAGCUCGUCAAAUCAUCCUAACAGCUCUGUACGCUAGGAACAGAUGACCCUCAUCGUACAGACAAGAGGAUGGAGAUGCAGAGAGGCCAGGAUUCCAGUACAGAGUUACAUUUCUUGCUCUGCUGAAGAGACCAGGGUGGUGUGGCCUGCGGUGAAUCAGUCUCCCAGGCUGGCCUUCUACAUUCUGGACCUGCCCAAAGCAGUCCAGCAGCAAAAAGAUGGUUUUAUAAGCCAAGAGACAAAGGCUAGCUGCUGGCUUUCCCGAGAGGCCUGGUGGCAGCAGGCAAGAACAGCAGGAACUGGAACCAUUUUUUUUCACCACAGAGAAGCAGUUUCCAAGAUACAGAUGAGUGUGCACGGUGUGCUGUCACCUGUAUGAAGAAGGGGACGCAUGCUUGGGGACCAGCAGGGGUUUGUUUUUAAUUGACCUGAUGCAGGUCUUGCACAACAGAAGUGCCCUAUCUCUGGACGGUAAAACAAACAGUGCUGACUGUUUCACAUGGCAAGUGUCUGAGGCAGUGAAACUAAGUUGGGAAAAACAAGAGGCUAGCCAGAACAUUCAGAAGGACGUCCUCCUGCAUGUUCCUAGGGAUCUGUAAGGCCACACACACAAGUAAGCCUGUACCCAAA